GCCUCCACCGUAUCCAAUCCCCUAAUAAGCUUAUAUGUUUCAAUAAGAUCCCCUCUCGUUCUUCUGAAUUCCACGCUUAACAAGCCCAGUCGCUCCAUUCCUUCAACAUAUGACUGUCCCACCAUCCAGGGAAUGCACCUGGUGAACCUACGCUGAACUCCCUCAAUAGCAACAAUGCCCUUCCUCAAAUUUGGAGACGAAAACUGCGCACAAUACUCCAGGUGUGGUCGCUCUAGGCCUCUGUAUAACUGUAGGACCUCAUUGCCCCUAUACGCAACUCCUGUUGUUAUGCACGCCAACACGCCAAUGGUGUUCUUCACUACCUGCUGUACCCGCAUGGGUACUUUCAGUGACUGGCGAAUAAGGACAUCCAGAUCACGUUGUACUUCCCAUUUUCCUAACAUGGCAGCAUUCAGAUACUAAUCUGCCUUCCUGUUUUAGCGCUGUGUUUCUGGCGCUGCGGCCAUUCUCCACCAGUUGCUCCACCGUGAUGGGCCACUUCGCUGAUAGGAGCUCAGCAUGCCUAGCCCAGUCCGUUUUAUCGAAAGGUGGGGUUCCGGUUACGCACCAUAAGUGAGCAGGACCUUCUUGCCAGGUUUGUGUACAUGGGGUUCCACUCUUCGACAAUGGAUGCGGCUCUCAGCAGGGUCUCUUCUAUAUCCCGUAUUCUAUGUUUCUAUGUUUCCCAGCUCUCCCACACCCCACUCUCCGGCUCCUCCUUUCUUCUUCCGGUACAAAGAUGUGAACCCCACGUGAUAUACACUUCCGUAGCUGUUUCCUGUCAUCGGCGACUGUUACCACCUUAAUUCAGUAGGUAUUCUCUGAAGCGAGGGUGCGUCAUUUGCUUCUGAACACAAUUCUCUAGAUGUUUUCCUCAAUGCAGCAGAAUCUAUUUUCCAUCUUCCUCGCGUUGCUGAUACGUCGUUGUCUUUCGGACGGGGUCUGGCAGAUUCCGCCCGCCAUUAUUGUCCAGAAUGGAGAGUCGACUCGGAUCAAUUGUACCUACGAGAAAUACAUUUAUGCCAUGCAGUGGUACCGACAGAAACGUGGACAACGACUAGAAAGGUUAAUCACUCGAAGAGCGGCUGGGAGAGAGAUGAAUGGUCGUUUUAAAUUAGAUUUCACACCUGCUGACAAGCGCGGCCAGUUCAUCAUCGAGGGCAUCGAACCCGCCGACACGGCGGUGUAUUACUGCGCGACAUAUACGCACACUGAGAGAAACCGCGGCGGUCCCCACACAAAAACGUUUCUCCUGUUUACAGCUGCUGCCGGCUCAGAUGGCGCCGGUUGUUUUUGUGUGUUUUUUAAUGUUUACAUUUUUAAUGUUUAAUAAAUCAACACAAAAAUGAAAAAAUACACGUUAAUAAGGAACACUCAAAUAAUGCACACAAGAAAAAUACAAAAAUAAACAGAAACAUAAAAUAAAUAGAAAUAAAUUUAAAAAAUGGUUAAAAAAAAAAAAUUAUAUAUGAUUUUUAUGUGGACAAGCUUUUCCCUUUGAGAAUAGGGAAGCUUCAAACAAGAGGACAUGUCUUCGGAAUUAAGGGACAGAAGUUUAGGGGUAACAUGAGGGGGAAUUUCUUUACUCAGAGAGUGGCAGCGGUGUGGAAUGAACUUCCAGUGGAAGUGGUGGAGGCAGGUUCGAUGGUAUCAUUUAAAAAUGAAUUGGAUAGGCAGAUGGAUGAGAAGGGAACGGAGGGUUAUGUUAUGAGUGGAGGCAGGUGGGACUAAGGGAAAAUGAUUGUUCGGCACGGACUUGUAGGGCCGAGAUGGCCUGUUUCCGUGCUGUAAUUGUUAUAUGGUUAUAUGUUUAUAAUUAAUGAUAAUUAAGAAUGAAGAGU